rnacentral:rRNA from 1 species
AUUGAACGCUGGCGGCAGGCCUAACACAUGCAAGUCGAGCGGAUGAAGGGAGCUUGCUCCUGGAUUCAGCGGCGGACGGGUGAGUAAUGCCUAGGAAUCUGCCUGGUAGUGGGGGAUAACGUCCGGAAACGGGCGCUAAUACCGCAUACGUCCUGAGGGAGAAAGUGGGGGAUCUUCGGACCUCACGCUAUCAGAUGAGCCUAGGUCGGAUUAGCUAGUUGGUGGGGUAAAGGCCUACCAAGGCGACGAUCCGUAACUGGUCUGAGAGGAUGAUCAGUCACACUGGAACUGAGACACGGUCCAGACUCCUACGGGAGGCAGCAGUGGGGAGUAUUGGACAAUGGGCGAAAGCCUGAUCCAGCCAUGCCGCGUGUGUGAAGAAGGUCCUCGGAUUGUAAAGCACUUUAAGUUGGGAGGAAGGGCAGUAAGUUAAUACCUUGCUGUUUUGACGUUACCAACAGAAUAAGCACCGGCUAACUUCGUG